UACGGAGGGUGCGAGCGUUAUUCGGAUUUACUGGGCGUAAAGAGCAUGUAGGCGGUUUAGUAAGUCUGGCGUGAAAGCCCGGGUCUCAAACUCGGAAGUGCGCUGGAUACUGCUAGACUAGAGUGUCGGAGGGGAGAACGGAAUUCCUGGUGUAGAGGUGAAAUUCGUAGAUAUCAGGAGGAACAACGGUGGCGAAGGCGGUUCUCUGGACGACAACUGACGCUGAGAUGCGAAAGCGUGGGUAGCAAACAGG
rnacentral:rRNA from 1 species